rnacentral:rRNA from 1 species
CACGUAGGGGGCGAGCGUUAUCCGGAAUUACUGGGCGUAAAGCGCACGCAGGCGGUUCGCCAAGUUUGGAGUGACAGUUGUCGGCUCAACCGACAAAGGACUUCAAAAACUGGUGAACUUGAGGACGAGAGAGGAACAUGGAACUCCAGGUGUAGUAGUGAAAUGCGUAGAUAUCUGGAAGAACACCAAUGGCGAAGGCAAUGUUCUGGCUCGUUUCUGACGCUCAGGUGCGAAAGCCAGGGGAGCGAACGGG